UCUGCCUGCUCACUAAGGCAUCCUAACUUUCUCAUUAUUUUUUUCCUGCCUGACUCUAUUUCUUUGCUGCAUUUUAGAAGUCUGAAGUUCAUUCCUCUAACUAGAUUAAUAAAAGCAGAUUUCUCAUUUCAUAUUUCAGAAUUGACAGAGGAAAUACUGCCCUGAUAAUGUCAGAGUGAAGUGAGAAAAUACUAGUCCCGAAUUUGGAAUUUUAAAAUUAACUUUGAAAUCGGAUUGAUUUUUGGAUUUAUCAAUAAAUGAGAAGUUUUGAUAUAAUAACAAGACUGGCGGGUGUCAAGAACAUUCUGGAAUCAUGGUUCUAACACAGAUUCUAGACAUCUCCUAGUCCAACCCCUUGAGCCCAACCAGAUAGCUUUAUUGAGCUGCUCACGAUGCUUCCUGGAUCCCCACCGUCCAACUCCCUGAGAGUUGUCAGUUGGCUAGGCAUACAACAGCCUGUGGAAGAUGGCCUACCAUUCCUUCUGAUGUUCUUGCUUUAGGACUGACACUGCUUGGCCUGAAUCUGAUGUGCCAUAUGACUGACUGGCUGAUUACCUUUAUCUUCUCCCUCCUAGAUUACGGAUGAAAGUUUGGUCACCUGUGCGGAUCAGUGGGAUUAGAGACAUCAAAGCAAGUAAAAAUAAGGAAGACAAGCAGAGAAACAACAAACAAAAAGAACUCCAUCACUGAAACCGAAGGAUCAAGUGUCUUGCUUCUGGAAAAUGCGAUGUGCAUUUUUAUGAGCUGGGAUACUUAAAUGUUGACUCAAGACGCUUCAGAGUUCUCUUCUUUGGUACAUCAACCAUCAAGUUCCAAGACGGUGGUUGCUCUGUCAGCCAGGAUCUAUGAAUAACUCUGAUGAAUAUAGCUCUUCUGCGAAUGGAAGUACAGCAUGAGUGAGAAAUGAACCUUUCUUAUUUAAAUGCUUGAAAUAUUGGGGAUAAUUGUUACAUAGCUUAAUAUUGCCUAUCGCAACUGAUAUGAUUACAAUAACCAUAAAAACAGCAACAGCUGCAACAUUUAUGAAAUACUUACUUGUCACUUUGUGUUGAUGCUUCUAAUCCCCUUAAUAAAUCUAUGAUUUUGAUAGAUUAUUAUCCUUGUUUCACUUUUAUUGAUGAGGAAACAGAUACAGAAAGAAACAAAGCAGCUUGUCUAAGAUGACAAAAACUUGUGAGCCAGGAUUUGAACUCAAACAAUUCAGCCUCGAAGCCUGUGGUCUUAACCAGAGAUUUACUACUUCUUGUGCAACUUCAAUGAUUAAUUAUUUAGAAUCAUGGAGUGAUUUGGCAACGAGUUUAAUAAAUGUCUAGAUUCCCAUCUCUGAUAAAGUGUGACUCCAAGGCCAUUACACUUUGUAUUUUAUUAACAGGAAAAGAACCAAGCACUUCCAAAGAAUCGAGCUGCUUUUUAAUGGCCAAAAAUUGGUGUAAAUUAUUUAAUUUCCAUGGUUUUGUAAAUUCCAUAAGUAAAAGGGACAUUUUCUGCUUGGGAAUUGUAUUGGUUUGGUUACAUGUAUGAAUUUCCAACCCUUUUAGAAGAUGUAGUUACCCCAUUUGACACUGUCUGUCUCACUGAUUGUGUAAUUCAUGAGUAUCAUUAUAUUCUCUUACAAACUAGUUUAGAGUGAUGUUCAGCUGUUCUAUUUUUACCUCUCCUCUGCUUUUUGCUGUUGGUGGGGGGUUCAUCUUUGUUUGGCUUCUGUUGUUGUGGAGGGAGAGGAGGGGCUCUGCCCACCUGUGCUGAUGUCCUUAGGAGGCCACCCUCAGGUUCCUCUGUCACCACAGCCUCAGGCUUGCACUCACAUAAUAAUAGACAGUGCUGGUACAGGACUGGUAAAAGCAUUCCAAUUCUCCUGUCAACAGUGUCUGAAUUUCUUUUUUAAAACAGAAAUCUCUGACAGAUCUCACCAUGGACCUCUGAUUAGCCAGAUGACAUGUAGAUAAGGUUUCAAGACCUACUACAGGGAAUGCAAUCGCAGGGUCUGUCACCAAUCUUCUUUUUGUACUGCAACUUCUUCAUUCAGAGGUGUCAAGAGGGCAAAUCUCUAACAAAGGAACUGCAGCAAGAGCAGUUGCAGAGCCCACCACAAGGCAGAAGAGACAGAGUCGGAAACAGAUGUGAUAAUGACAACAGCAGAGCUGAAGCUGCAGCCUGAAAGCCCUCCAUAGCCCACUAAGACAUCACAGGGCCAGAGCUCCCUAUGGCGGAAGCCCCCACCCCACCCCGAAACCUCAGUGGCUGUCUGGUCCAGAUCCUUAUUUCCAGAUAGGCAAAAACAUUUUCUGAUUUUUCACAGAUAAAGGGAAAAACCCAUAUUCUUUCCACAUGCCUUGUAAAUGUACUAGUUAAAAACUUAUUACUUAUAUAUUACCUGUAUCUCUCUAGCUGUCAUUUAAACAUUCAUCAGGAGAGGUGAGGAAAAUAAAUCUUUGUGGAGUUUUAUCCUAUUGCUUGUUGAGGUCAAGUCUCCUACUUAAAUAUUUUAUAUGAGAUGAAGCCUUAACAUGUCCAGGUUCCUUACCAGAUAUUUCCUUCAAGAUCUUCCCUCAUCCUUCCCUACUGCGUUUUUCCCUCUCAUCAUAACAGAAAGGUAUUAUGCAAGAUUGUGACAAACUAGCUGUUCUACACCUCUGCAAAGGACAGAUGGAGAGGAGAUGGAUUUUUAAUUAUUACCAAAUUUAGGCACAAAGAAAUCGAGAUGAAUUUUCUGUUAUAUGACAUGGGAAUCAGCUAACAAUGGAUAUUAUAAAGUUUGCUUAACUUGGUUUCAUGAAUCACAGAUACCAGGAGAUGCAAGACUCUCUAGGCAAAUAUCUGAUUUGUCCAGAUUAGGAAACUGAGGCCAGAGAGUUAAAUGACUGGCCAAUUAGUUACAGAAGCAUAGAAUAACACACAAACUUUGGUGUCAGGAUAACCUGGGUUCAAACAGGGACUUUGCCACUAAUUUGUAGCAGAUGUACAACCUCCUAGAGCUUGUUUUCUCAUCUAAAAGAUGUGCACAAUGGUACUCACCACACAGGAUUUUUGUGAGAAUUGAAUAGCACUGGUUAUGAAAAAACCUCUAAAAAUGAUUCUCUCUAUCGCACUCUAUCACACUCUAUCACACUCUUAU